rnacentral:rRNA from 1 species
AUUGAACGCUGGCGGCAGGCUUAACACAUGCAAGUCGAGCGGGGUGAUGGUGCUUGCACUAUCACUUAGCGGCGGACGGGUGAGUAAUGCUUAGGAAUCUGCCUAUUAGUGGGGGACAACAUCUCGAAAGGGAUGCUAAUACCGCAUACGUCCUACGGGAGAAAGCAGGGGAUCACUUGUGACCUUGCGCUAAUAGACGAGCCUAAGUCGGAUUAGCUAGUUGGUGGGGUAAAGGCCUACCAAGGCGACGAUCUGUAGCGGGUCUGAGAGGAUGAUCCGCCACACUGGGACUGAGACACGGCCCAGACUCCUACGGGAGGCAGCAGUGGGGAAUAUUGGACAAUGGGGGGAACCCUGAUCCAGCCAUGCCGCGUGUGUGAAGAAGGCCUUAUGGUUGUAAAGCACUUUAAGCGAGGAGGAGGCUCUUUUGGUUAAUACCCAGAAUGAGUGGACGUUACUCGCAGAAUAAGCACCGGCAAACUAUGUGCCAGCAGCCGCCGUAA